rnacentral:tRNA from 1 species
GGCCCGGUAGCUCAGUGGUUAGAGCACUGGCUUCUCAAGCCAGAGGACUGGAGUUCGAUUCCUCGGCCGGGUGG